CCUGNAGAAUAAGCUCCGGCUAACUCCGUGCCAGCAGCCGCGGUAAUACGGAGGGAGCUAGCGUUGUUCGGAAUUACUGGGCGUAAAGCGUGCGUAGGCGGUUAUUCAAGUCAGAGGUGAAAGCCUGGAGCUCAACUCCAGAACGGCCUUUGAAACUAGGUAACUAGAAUCUUGGAGAGGUGAGUGGAAUUCCGAGUGUAGAGGUGAAAUUCGUAGAUAUUCGGAAGAACACCAGUGGCGAAGGCGACUCACUGGACAAGUAUUGACGCUGAGGUACGAAAGCGUGGGGAGCAAACANGGAUUAGAUACCCUGGUAGUCCACGCCGUAAACGAUGAUAACUAGCUGUUCGGGCUCNUCAGAGCUUGAGUGGCGCAGCUAACGCAUUAAGUUAUCCGCCU
rnacentral:rRNA from 1 species